AACGAACGCUGGCGGCAUGCCUAACACAUGCAAGUCGAACGGGAACGUCCGGUCUAGUGGCGCACCGCUGCGUAACGCGGGGUAACCUGCCCUUAGGUUCCGAACACCUCCCCGUAGGGUGUCCUAAUACCGGUUAAUCUCUUCCGACCAAAGAUUUCUUGCCUUUGGGUGGGCCCGCGUUGGUUUAGCUAGUUGGUAGGGUACAAGCCUGCCAUGGCGACGAUCCAUGGCUGGUCGGGGAGGAGGAUCUGCACGGCUGGGACUGCGACACGGCCCAGACUGGGACGGGAGGGAGCAGUGGGGAGUACUGGGCAAUGGGCGAAAGCCUGGUACAGCAGUGCCGCGUGAGUGAGGAAGGGGUUAGGAUUGUAAAGCUCUUUGAGACGGGAUGUUAAUGACGGUACUGGGAGAAUAAGCACCGGCUAACUACGUG
rnacentral:rRNA from 1 species